rnacentral:lncRNA from 1 species
UUCCGCCACCACCCGCCUCAGCCCCCCCUGUGGGACCACAUCGUCACUUCCAUGCCCAUGGUCCGUUCCCGGGGCCCCAGCACUAUACCUUGGGCCGGCCAGGAAGGGCUCCCAGAAGGGGGGCUGGGGGACACCCUCAGUUUGCUCCACAUGGUCGCCACCCCCUGCACCAGCCCACAUCGCCAUUGCCCCUGUACAGUCCUGCCCCCCAGCACCCUCCAGUCCACAAACAGGGCCCCAAGCACUUCAACUUCAGUCACCACCCACAGAUGAUGCCAGCAANNNNNNNNNNNNNNNNNNNNNNNNNNNNNNNNNNNNNNNNNNNNNNNNNNNNNNNNNNNNNNNNNNNNNNNNNNNNNNNNNNNNNNNNNNNNNNNNNNNNNNNNNNNNNNNNNNNNNNNNNCUCGCCCCUGCCGCCCACCUCCCCCCAUGGCCCGCUGCACGCCUCUGGGCCCUCUGGCACAGCCAACCCACCCAGUGCAAACCCCAAGGCCAAGCCAAGCCGGAUCAGCACCGUGGUCUGAUGAAUGGAAGCAAGCCAGCUGGGGAACCGAAAGUAGGCCCUGGCCCAGACCUCUUCAGCUUCAGGAACUUGCCUCGCCCUGCAAUGUUCUUAUCCUGAUCAAAGUCCAGACAGAUAUUGCCCACACACACCUCGCUGGGGCAGGGCACCCAGCAGCACAGCAGCAGCCCCGGGGGGAGAGGCUCCCAGAGGGCCAUCCUGAGCCCAAGAUGUCCUUCCUGAGGCAGAGAUUGAAGCCAUCAGAGCCGGGGAUGGGAGCCAGAAUGCCUGAGUCCUUCUGUCCGUCAAAAUCUCUGCUGCCUCUCCAGCCCUUUUGCAGCCCUGUUUAUUUAUUAUAAAUAUAUUUUUUACAAGCCCCAGCUCCUCUUCUUGCCCUGCACAUCCAGCUCCUUCCUCAGCUCCUGCCUCCCUCUCCUCUCUCCACUAUUGGCUGCAGUACAGACAGACAGACCCUGGCUGUACAAAGGGCCAGGAACCCUGGGGCUUGGGGGUUGGGGAGGGUGGUGGUGGGAGGGGCUGUGUGGAGAGGAGCUGGGGUUCAGGCAUUGUCUUUUUCCCUCCUUGUAUAUAAGAAUGUAUAUUUGAUGCCUCAUAAAAGACCUUGUGCUCACUUCCUGCCUCUGCCUCCUACUUAAUGUCCCACUUUCCCCACUGUGGAGCCCACAGAGAGAGAGGCUUUAGCCCUGGAGAGGUGAUGCAUUAAUGGUAGAAGUUCAGGCAGCUGGGUGGGUGAGAUACUUUGGUUGGGUGGGAGGUGGAGUGAGAGGUGUUUUCCUGUCUCAUUUCAGACACAGUCUGUGUGACAGAGUGGCAAGAGUGUGGGCUUUGUGGUUGAUCCAUUUCACAUACUGGGGUUUUCACUUCCUAGGCAUUUGGGGAGUUACCUUGAGUCUCAGUUUCUUCAGUUUACAACUUGAGAUGAUCAGCCAUUGCCACAUGGAGUUGUGAUGAUUAUAUGAGGUAAUGAAUGCCAAGUAGCCAGGAUGGAGUAGGUGCUCAUCAAGUUAGUUCCCUUGUCUUCCUUUCACAGGUUGGAUAUUUCCACACGUGUGGCCUCUAUUCGCAUCCUUCCUGUGGCUGGCCUAGUUUUGACUGAAGCCUCUGUCCCUUGCAAUGGUUGGCUACAUUUCUGUCCUUGGUGGGGUAGUUACUUGAACCAGGAAAGUACAGGGCUAGGUACAUUACAAGAGCUCUGUGUAUGUUCUUAGCAUGUAAUAUAACAAACAGCUGGACUGCUUUUAAUUUAUAGAGGAGAGGAUAGGCCACAUAGCAAGUCAGGAUGGGGUUUCUCUUUCCAAUGCCUCAAGCUGCUUCCCUACAAAAUGGGCCUGCUGAUUAUACCCUGGCUCUCAGCCUACCACAGAAAGCAUGAGGCAGAGCACUGGCUUGUGGUUACAGUCAGAAGGGUCCCCAGAAGCAGCAUUUAGUCAAUAUUUUUGCUGCUUUCCUAGAAUCUGGAAUGAACUCUAAGAGGGAAUAGUUUGCAUGGCCCUACUCAUUAGCAGAUUAGAACAAUGUGUUUGUUUUUUUCUUCAUAAAUGCCCAUUUAAAGACAUCCAGGGAAGAAAACUAGCUAAAGCAGCUGCUGGGGUUAUAUAAGCAUUUGAUGCCACCUCACAGACCUAAACAUUUAAAUAUCUUAGAUUCAGAGAGUCUUAAAUCAAGUCUGAUCAGCAGAUUUUGGUUUUCUCCCUGGUGAAUCAACCUGGACUACCUUUGGUUGCUCCCCUCUCUCCCACCUUGAACCUGAGGCUGGUUGCAUCUUCCCUAACCUCAGUAUUUAGCACUCCAAUCCUGGCCCAGUGACUUGGCCAUGCUACCUUUGGCAAGUGAUUAAGUCCUUCAGAGCCUGGUUUUUCACCUAUAAAAUAGGGAUAACAAGCUUGCAAACACAGUUAUUACCAGAUGCUCAUGAAGUGCCUACUUCCUGCCAGACAUAUAGUCAGCUGUUCUUGGCUAUUUACAGAAACAAGUACAAACUGCUGCUUUUGGCACUGGUAGUUCUCAAUGGGGAGACCCAACCAAUCUCUGUGGAGGCUUCUCAUUCCUCACUCACACUUGGGCUAUCCAUUCGCUGUUCUUUGAACAUGUUCCAACUUCAGUGUUUUUCCUGUGCCAUUUCCCCCUGCCAGAUGUGCUUCGCCCAGUAUUCCUGAUGGAGGUAUUCCCACUCUUGCAAGAUGAAUUUCAAAGACUCAUCCUUCACAAAACAUGCCCUUGAUCAUAUUCUGAGAUCCCUGGUGUCAUCAUUUAUCUUACCUACCUGGCCACAAGUGGCUUGAGAGUAACACUGAUCUGCAUCAAAUUCAUCCACAGAAUCACCUACCACAGUGCCUGACACUGCACAUAUGUCACUAAAAUUUCAUUGAUUAAAAGAAUGAAAUCUUAAAGUAAUGAAUCUUUGUAUCAGUUGAUUUAUUGAUAGAUAAAAACUUUUGGGCCCCCCCUAGGACUGCUUCCUGAUACCUUCAGCUCUUGUUGAUUUUUCCUCCUCCCAACCCUCAUUGCAUUCCUGGCACUGAGUUGUCCCUGCCUCCGAGUUGUCCCUGCCUCCAUUCUCCUUGUCAGAAGUCUCCUCUUCAGACAGUGAAGGGGUAGUUCAUCUCAACCCCCCCCCAUUUCUCUAAGGACCUGAAGACAAGAAGCUCAUUGACUGUUCUCAUAUCCAAGGUGCUAUGGCCAAUCUCUGUGAGGGUGCAGAUGGGGAGAGACA